rnacentral:rRNA from 1 species
UACGGAGGGUGCAAGCGUUAUCCGGAAUCACUGGGUUUAAAGGGUGCGUAGGCGGCUUAAUAAGUCAGAGGUGAAAGGCUGUGGCUCAACCAUGGGAUUGCCUUUGAUACUGUUAGGCUUGAAUCAGGCUGAGGUUGGCAGAAUGUGGCAUGUAGCGGUGAAAUGCAUAGAUAUGCCAUAGAAUACCGAUUGAGAAGGCAGCUGACUGACCCUUGAUUGACGCUGAGGCACGAAAGCGUGGAGAGCGAACAGC